GGGCCGGUAGCUCAGGGGUAGAUCGCUCCCUUGGCAUGGGAGAGGCCUCGGGUUCAAAUCCCGACCGGUCCA
rnacentral:tRNA from 6 species